rnacentral:rRNA from 1 species
GACGAACGCUGGCGGCAUGCCUAAUACAUGCAAGUCGAGCGGACUUGAUGAGAAGCUUGCUUCUCAGAUAGUUAGCGGCGGACGGGUGAGUAACACGUAGGCGACCUGCCCUCAAGCUUGGGACAACUACCGGAAACGGUAGCUAAUACCGAAUACUUGUUUUCUUCGCCUGAAGGAAACUGGAAAGACGGAGUAAUCUGUCACUUGGGGAUGGGCCUGCGGCGCAUUAGCUAGUUGGUGAGGUAACGGCUCACCGAGGCGACGAUGCGUAGCCGACCGGAGAGGGUGAUCGGCCACACUGGGACUGAGACACGGCCCAGACUCCUACGGGAGGCAGCAGUAGGGAAUCUUCCGCAAUGGGCGAAAGCCUGACGGAGCAAUGCCGCGUGAGUGAUGAAGGUUUUCGGAUCGUAAAGCUCUGUUGCCAGGGAAGAACGCUUGGGAGAGUAACUGCUCCCAAGGUGACGGUACCUGAGAAGAAAGCCCCGGCUAACUACGUGCCAGCCGCCGCCGUAA